rnacentral:lncRNA from 1 species
CUGAAGCGAGGCCCAACAGAUCCAGCCCAAUAUCGUUUUCAACAUAUCUCAAAAUCUAUGGUUCUCCGUCUCCUGCGCUAUCGUUCAAGCAAAGGCUCUCGAGAACCCUAGAACUCUGCAACCGACCCAGCCGCCGCUACGAAGAAUGACGGCAGACACAGCUGGAAUGACGGUAGACACAGCUGCACCGAGCAAGCUCCGAUGGGGAGAAUUGGAGGAUGACGGCGAGGAUCUGGACUUUCUGUUGCCUCCGAAGGAGGUUAUCGGACCCGAUCACAACGGGAUCAAGAGAGUGAUCGAGUACAAAUUCAACGACGAUGGCAAUAAGAUCAAGAUUACGACCACCACCCGCGUUAGGAAGCUGGCCAACGCUCGCCUGAGUCGACGUGCCGUUGAGCGGAGGAGUUGGGCUAAGUUCGGCGACGCCGUUCAUGAGGACGUUGGUGCUCGGCUCACUAUGGUCUCCACUGAGGAGAUCCUGCUUGAACGACCUAGGGCUCCAGGUUUGAAAUUCGUCUUUAUCCUUAUAGCAUCAGAUUUGAAAUUCAUCAAUUUGUUUGAGAAUCCAGGAAUAUCGUUUUGAUUGUGCUGUUGCCUGUUUGGCUUGGUUGAUGUUUAUGCUUAUUCGUUACUGAUUUGAUUCUAUAGGCAUAGAAACGUAGAAAGUUAGAUUCUUUUGUUCAAGGGUUUAUGGCAAAAUGCACAUUACACUGAUUUGAUUAACGAACAGGUACCAAAGCUGAAGAAAACAAGAUGGGUGGAGAUAACUUGUCACAGCUUGGAAAGGCAGGAGCUGUACUGAUGCUUUGCAGAACCUGUGGUAAGAAGGGAGAUCACUGGACAUCAAGGUGUCCAUACAAGGAUCUCGCUGCUCAGACCGAAUCAUUCAUCGAUAAACCUCCGACAUCCGAUUCUUCUGCUGCCGGUGGUCCUGCUGCUCCUGGCAAGGCUUCUUACGUGCCGCCAAGCAUGAGGCCGGGAGCAGAGAGGAGUGUUGGAUCAGAUAUGAGGAGAAGGAACGACGAGAACUCUGUUCGUGUCACUAACUUGUCUGAGGAUACCCGCGAGCAGGACUUGAAGGAGCUGUUCCUUCCAUUCGGUCACGUGACCCGUACUUACGUUGCCAUCGAUCAGAAGACUGGCGUGAGCAGAGGCUUCGGUUUCGUCAACUUUGCCAACAAGGAGGAUGCUGAGAGGGCGAUAGACAAGCUUAACGGCUAUGGUUACGACAAUCUCAUCCUUCGUGUCGAGUGGGCUACUCCUCGAGCAAACUAAGAAGCGAAUGACAGCCGGGUUCUUUGAGAUUUUUGUUUAGAGUAAUUGUAGCUUGCUUACGUCCUGCUGUUUCGGAGCUUUGGUCUCGAAUAUUAACAAUGGUAAAACUGGUUCCUUUUUGUUAUGCAUUUCCUACUAUGUCUUAUUUGCUUCUUAUACUAUGAUACGAGAUGUUGAUUGGUAACAGUUUUAAUCAUGUAUGAUGAAUCUGUUUGUUCCAUCCUCGGUUCCAAACGAUCUGGUUUCGAGCCUGAGUAAAACUCCAAGUAACGAUUUGACCAAUGCAUCACUUGUAUAUAUUACAUUAUAGGUAGCUAUCCUCUCAUGAGUUGAGGCUAUAGAUCGAACUUCGAUUCGGAGGAUGGCUAGUGAGUAGAAAUCAAGAACCAGAAGGGGGAAAUUGCUUCCUCUGUUCCUCAGACCUGCUGAGUUGUUUAGUUCCUGUUGACAUGGAAGAGUCUACAAACGACAGUCGGUGAACGCGUUUAGGUGAUGACUUUGUUAAGUGUGAAGUGCAAAACCCAAAGUCAAUGGAAGAGUUUGGUUGAAUAAUGGAUAAAUUGUUUACAGAGUCUUGGAGUUGGAGAGCUAGUGGCAACGAACAUUCAAUUAACAGGAAAAUCAAUGGAAUGGUUUGUUAAUUAGUGUCGACUCUAGAACGAUAUGUCAAACCAAAAGUUAAAUAUUUCUACUAGUAGUUCGAUGAUAAACCAAUGCCAUACAAUAGGCGAAAAUGGUACCGAGCCAUCAAGAUUUGUGUCCAAUAUGUAACAUGCAUUUUAAGACAUUUACGCGAUUAAAAAUGUAUGUCUGAUACUCCGACGUAUAACAUUUGUAAGUGUCGAGACCGCAUAGUACAUUUUACUCAAUUAAGAUUUUCAAUAGCAACAUUAGUUUCCUUCUAGAUUUAGGAAUAUAGCCCACUAGAAGAACACAAGUCUUUGGUCGUCUCAAAUACAAUAUUUUUUCCUCACCAAUUGGUCAACUUAAUCAAGCGAUUACUCGGCAACAUUAUCCACCAAACCCUAGAAACCCAAAUCGAAUCAAUAUAUAAGAAGACAAUAAUCACAACCAUUCUCUCAUAUCAACACAUUGAUCACUAAACAACAACACCCCCAACACAAAAUGGCUAAACUCAACCAAAUCAUAGCUUCCAUCUUCAUAAUCUCCACCCUUCUCUCAACCAUAUCCCAAGCUGAUCACCCCGACGACGAUUAUGUCAAAACCCUGAACCCUAAACGUCUAAAUAAGAUGUUCAGGUCUCAGAAGAAGCUGACCCACUUCCACUUUUUUUGGCAUGAUAUCUAUAGUGGAGCCACCCCAUCUGCAAUGCAGGUGGUGGCCUCCCCCUCGAACACCUCCCAAACAGGGUUCGGAUUCGUGAGCAUGAUUGACAACCCAAUGACAAUGGGCCCACAGCUGGAUGUCUCGAACUCGUCCAACUUGAUGGGGAGGGCUCAAGGGUUCUAUGGGUCGGCCGACCAUAGCGAGUUGGCGGUGAUGGUAGUGAUGAACUUGGUGUUCUUGCAAGGGAAGUACAACCAGAGCACGGUGACGUUGAUGGGGAGGAACAGGAUUGCGGCGGAGGUGCGGGAGACUGCGGUGGUCGGCGGGACUGGAGUUUUUCGAUUCGCGUCCGGGUUUGCGACCGCAAGUACUUUUCGGUUCAACCAGACGAGUGGGGAUGCUGUGGCUGAGUAUGAUUUGUACGUGUUGCAUUAUUGAUUUGAUAUGAUUUUUCAUUAAAUUUGAGUUUUUGAAUUAGUGUGUAUUUACGUGUGAUCGAUAUUUAAUAAAAGGAGGGAAUUAUAUGCAGAAAAUUUGAGGUUAUGAACUCUUUUUUUUGUUUUAAGCAUUAGAAUAUUUUAAAGUCGUUAGAUUUUAUUUAUUGUUUAAAUUAAUGUUCUUAAUUUAAUUAAAAAAAAGACUAUAUUUUUUCCUUUUUAUAUUCUAGUUUCAAUUGAAUCUCUUUCCUUUCUUUAACAAUUAUUGUUCCUAUUUUUGUGUAAUUGAGUAUUGUCUAUUUCCUUUUUUUAAAUACAUUUNNNNNNNNNNNNNNNNNNNNNNNNNNNNNNNNNNNNNNNNNNNNNNNNNNNNNNNNNNNNNNNNNNNNNNNNNNNNNNNNNNNNNNNNNNNNNNNNNNNNNNNNNNNNNNNNNNNNNNNNNNNNNNNNNNNNNNNNNNNNNNNNNNNNNNNNNNNNNNNNNNNNNNNNNNNNNNNNNNNNNNNNNNNNNNNNNNNNNNNNNNNNNNNNNNNNNNNNNNNNNNNNNNNNNNNNNNNNNNNNNNNNNNNNNNNNNNNNNNNNNNNNNNNNNNNNNNNNNNNNNNNNNNNNNNNNNNNNNNNNNNNNNNNNNNNNNNNNNNNNNNNNNNNNNNNNNNNNNNNNNNNNNNNNNNNNNNNNNNNNNNNNNNNNNNNNNNNNNNNNNNNNNNNNNNNNNNNNNNNNNNNNNNNNNNNNNNNNNNNNNNNNNNNNNNNNNNNNNNNNNNNNNNNNNNNNNNNNNNNNNNNNNNNNNNNNNNNNNNNNNNNNNNNNNNNNNNNNNNNNNNNNNNNNNNNNNNNNNNNNNNNNNNNNNNNNNNNNNNNNNNNNNNNNUUAAUCUACAUAUUAAAAAUAGUUAAAAUUUUAAAUUUCACUAUAAUAAUUCUUGUAAAUAAUAAUCAAAUGAAGUUUAAAAUUAUUUAUUUUAGAAUGGAGUUCGAUCUUAAUACCCGUAAAAGUAUAAUACACCUCAUAACCAAUCGAUUAUUGCUUAAUGCAAGCACUUACGACAAAAAAAUCAAUUAUUAAUAUUACAGAUAAAUACCCAAUUACACCCCAAAUAACGUAUCUUUAGAAGAGUUAGAAGUAAUUGAAUCAUGAACCACUUGUGAAAAUGAUACAUCUGAUCAAUAUAAUCACCAUUCCAAACCCGAUGAUCACAUGUGGUUACAUUCUUGUGGCGUCGUUUUAUGCUGGUAGAUUAGAUUCUUCUGGUGUCGUUUCUGAAAACCAUACUGCAGAAACUUGUGAAAUAACAGUAAAACGAGACAUAAAGCAGAGCACAUGAGAGAUCAAUUGACCAAAAACAGAGCAACACCAUACGUUUCCCCCAGUCGGUCGUCCCAUGAUAUUUGAUUGCAAUGGCGACAAGAAAAGAACAUCAAUCCCAUCCCAUAAUCCCAUGGCGUUAUACUGUUUUUCUCAACUUUUUGGGACUGCAUACCCUCAUCUCACGGCAUUAAGGGACACGUAACGUCCUAAGAAUGACACGUUGCUGUGCACGAUAUAGCUCUUGCGCCAUGCAUGAUAUCAUCAUGAUCCAUGACAGUCAGAAUUCUUGGGGCAAAUGCAUUCAUCCAUGAACGAAAGUGAAUAGAAGUGGAGAUAGAAGACACAAGAUGUCAGGUGUGUAAUCCAUGAACAGAGGGUAGAUGCAGAUAGAGUCCAUGAACAUAGGGAUCAUUCAUCCUCAUCCAAGCGGCGACCAUUCCACCGAUCACCUCCCCCUCCUUCAUUACUCUCAGCCAUCCAUCCAAAUUUGAUUGUUGCAGUAUCAGAAACUUAAAGAUCGGUCCUUUUUCUGCCAGAUGACGCCGGUCAACACGGCGAAGUUGGGAUAUAUAACUAGUUAUAUCCCCACGGAGGCCUAAGAUAUAUAAGAGAGUAAUCUCUCUGUUUUGUGUUAGUGAAUAGUGAUAAGACUUCUUUUGAAUCACAAUCUUGUUCAUUUUGAGCUCUAAAAGUCUAGUAAUAUAUCUUCUUUAUAUAUGUUUGGAGGUUGAUUAGUAUGUUUUAUGUAUGUAAUCCGAUACAUUUAAAUGUCAAAUUUGAUAUAAGGUAUGCAUGAGUGCAUUAGAUCAUUCAACCUAAGAUGGCAUGAGUUGUUCCAUCGAGCAUAGACCCUUGAACUCGUAGUGCAUGACCUUUACUUUCCACUACUCGAUAGUUGAAGCUACGACAGGAUUAUAACGGAUUUUUUAUUUAGUAAAAAAAGUGCAUUUUCACACGAUAUUAAACCAUUAUGAAUUUAUUACGAAAUUCCUUUUUGAUAGAUACACAAACAUCUCCAUCAAGUCUAAUUAAUGCUAGGAAGAGGAUCACAUCCCAACAAAAUCAUCACAAAAGAAAUUAAAGUCAACUACAAGAAUUUUGCAACAAGCAUUGAAUCAUAUUGAUUAAUGCAUGCAUUGUUUUCAACUUUUUUUAGGGUUAGAAUUUAAAUGAACCAACUUUUUCUGUUUUUGGCAUCAUCACCUCCUUUCACUUCCCUUCAUCUUCUCUUAGCCCUCCACGUAUGUACAUGCCACAUUCAACAUUCAAUGUGUCCUUAAGGAGACCUCAAUGUAUUAGACAAAUUAUUAGAGUUGAACUCGACUAUAAUUCAAAAAGCAUUGAUAUAUUCAAAUACGAAUGGACUAAUCACAAACAAUAUCAUUUAUUACACCUUUUUAAUUCUAAUGUGAUGAUACACAAUAUUUUUCAAUUUCGCCUCUCGCAUUUUCAAACUCACCCCUAGCUACAUUUGAAAUCUACCAUUAAACAAAAGGAAACAUGCUAAGCUAUGGAGGACCAAACUAAACAAAAACUAUAGUUCCAAAAUACACAACUAGGUCAAUAGGUCACCAAACUAAACAAAUACUAUAUAGUUCAAAAACAACUAGCUAAGUCAAUAGAUCACCAAAGCAAAAUUGGCAUCACUCCACCCACAAAAACCCUAGAGCUCAAUCCAAAUAUCUUGUCUUCUUCCCCUUAGGUGUCACCUCCUUGGACUUUCUAUGCACCACCCACCACUUUCCACCAACAACAAACCCAACUCGUAUAUAAACCCCCUUUCCAAACAACACUGUCCACUAUACUAUCCAUUACUCCCCCUCUUCAAAACCCUUAAACCCUCACCUUUCAUCAAUGGCGACACCCACCUCCAACACCCCUUUCCUACUCCUCUCAAUCACCCUCAUCAUCACCACCACCAUCGCGGCUCAGACCAAUCUGGACCGCGAAUUCGACCUCACGUGGGGAGAAGGCCGCGGCAAGAUCGUUGCCGACGGCCAGUUGCUCACCCUGACCCUCGAUCACACUUCGGGGUCAGGGUUCCAGUCCAAGAACAAGUACCUGUACGGGAAGCUCGACAUGCAGCUGAAGCUAGUCCCCGGCAACUCUGCUGGCACCGUUACUGCUUACUUCGUAAUGAAGACUGAAUCUUUUCUUCAUUUUUUGCCAUGGAUUUGCAAAAAGAUUGGAUCUUUCUUCUUUUUUGUCGUGAAUUUGCAAAAGGGUAUCGAGGGUUUUACUGACUUGAAUGUUGGGUUUGUUUUGUUUUCAGUUGAAGUCUGAUGGAGAUGCGUGGGACGAGAUUGAUUAUGAGUUCUUGGGGAACUUGAGUGGCGAUCCUUACACGGUCCAUACGAACGUGUUCACGAACGGGAAAGGCGAUCGGGAGCAGCAGUUUCGUCUUUGGUUCGAUCCGACGACUGAUUUUCAUACUUACUCGAUCCUUUGGAACCCCAAGAGCAUCGUGUGAGUACUUGUUGUGUGUGUUACUUUCAAGUGUUUAAUUGGCUCUGUUUUCUUAGAUGGUGUCAAAUCGACUCGGUUAAGUAUGAGCUAACCGGUUGGUCAGAUUACGAGUCAGUCCGUUUGGUAAGUGGUAACUUUGAUAUAUUUUAGGGAGAGGAGAGUCGGUUGGUUGCCAAGUGGGUAGCACAGUUGGUAGGGGUAACUCGGUUGGUAGCAUAGUGCAUUAGUGACCCGAAUGUUUCGGGUUCAUAGUCUCAGCUACUAGCGGACACUUUUAGCUUAGGUUGGUGUGUUAUUUUGGUUCUCGGUUUCUCGGGUCACUUAAAUUUUUCAUAAGAAAGAAUCAGAUUGGUUGGAUUUGCACUUACCCGAUUAAUCGGAUUAUGAGUUAAUUGGAUGAUGUCACCACCUAUUUGGAUUAAGAGCUGCAAAGUUUGUGAGAUUGAUUGGAUGCAAAAAUUGAUAUGUUUAUGUAGGUGUCAUGAAUUGAUUAGUUGGGAAUUUUUUCUGAUAAAUUAAUCAAGUUAAUUGGGUUGUAGAUCGGUCAGGUUACAAAUCGGUCCAAUAAUUUGGAUAACGGGUUGGAUAGGUGAAAGGGUUAUUGGCAUGUUCCUCAAUUGGUCAAGUGUGUAGACAAUCUUGUUGCACGUUAAAUUGUCGAUCUAAUGGUAUAGAUUUCCAAAAGUUAAAUUAGUGAGCCGAAUCAUAUAAGCCGGGUAGCUGGUUCGGUUAGAUUAUUGAUUAAUUGAAAAUUCCAACUCAAUCAAUAACCAAACAUCCUCUGUUUUUAUCCCCUGUUUUUUCCUCAGUUUCACCAUCGACGGCACACCGAUCAGAGAAUUCAAGAACCUGGAAUCCGUCGGAGUCCCCUUCCCAACAUCACAACCCAUGAGGCUCUACUCGAGCCUAUGGAGCGCCGACGACUGGGCCACCAGGGGAGGGACCCUGAAGACCGACUGGUCCCAGGCUCCGUUCUCGGCCUCCUACAAAGACUUCAAAGCAGGGGAGGCCUGCAUAGUGAAUAACGAUGGAGCGAACCCAACUUGCUCGCCUGCCGGUAGCACGUCUUGGCUUAACGAGCAGCUGAACUCGGUGAACGAGCAGCGGAUGAGGUCGGUCCAGAGCCAUUACAUGAUCUACAACUACUGUACUGAUUCGGAGAGGUUUCCUCAGGGGUUCCCUAAAGAGUGUACUGCAGAAUGAGUUAAUAUGAAGGUUUGAAGAAAAACGGAGGGAAAAUGUUUGGAAGUGUUUGUUUGGUUAAGGUUGGUUGAUAUUUUGGUUUGGGGGUGAAUAAGAAGAUUAAGGUUAAGGGGGUAAUGUGUAAAGAAAGAAAAGUAUAUAAUAGAAUGUGCAUAAGAUCAAUAUUAUAUUACGAAAUGGUAUGUUUACGGGUUUUUUUAUGACGGAAAAGUCCUAUUAAGGGUUGUUUUGCAAAUGUUUCGAGUGAAGGUUGAAUAACGGUUUUCGGUUUAGGGACGACUUUCAUGCUGAGUACAUUGAUCCAUGGCUUUGCCGUAGUCUGCUACUGCUAUCCUUUGUUUUAAUCAGCAUUGGGAAGUGACAACUUACUGUAGUUAUUUAUAUACGCGACGCUUUAGGGUUUUGCUCUAAAGUUAUUUCACUCUAAAAUUCACCCUAAUGCAUUAUCGAACAUUCAACUUAGGGAGGGUCGGUCCUGUCACUACGAAACUAUAGCACACUUUUCCUAGGACAUAGUGUUUGGUCUUCAAAUUUGUUCAAAACAACUCAAGUUCGGAUCACGUAACGUCCCAUUUUCUCUCGAAAGCGUCAACUAAGUUCGGUGCCUUCUAAGAGAGAAGAUAUAACAAAACCAUCCCAUUUUCUCUCGAAAGCGUCAACUAGGUUCGGUGCCUUCUAAGAGAGAAGAUAUAACAAAACCAUCAAAGAAACUGACCGAGAAAGUAAACGCCCGUUCACCGAAGUGACCAUUAUGUUACCAAACGCCAAUUUUCAGUAACCAUUUCGUCAAAGGUCGAAGCUAAACCCUGAUUUAUUACGAAUACCCCAAACUUUAGUGACCGAUUAUGCAUCCUACCACACAAAAAGCUGUUGUGGACAGAUACAAAGAAAUGCCACAAAGGAACUGAAACUGUAGCUGAACAAGGUAAAAAGGAAUACAUUCCAUCAAACCCUAGCAAAACAACUUCUAAAAUUCAUUUGAAUUAUUGUAACCAUAACAGACUGAACAAACAAAAUGACAAAUGUAGUACUGUCAAUCAUUUGGAAACCAUAACAAAGAAAGAAUCUUUCUCCUCAACAGACUUGCAGGCCAAUGAAAAAUUUGCACAGUGGUCCUCUAAAAUUGUAACCAACUUCACUGACAGACAACUUGCAAAAAACCAGAAAUCUGGCAAAAAAGAUCAUGCCUUUAUGGUUUUUGCUCAAGAAUCUGGCCUAUAAAUAACCACUCUUCUCUGAAACUUACAUCUCACCUUUCUGCAAGUUCUUUGAUCUGAAAGUUUGGAGGAAGCCAUAUGUGAGGAUUGGAGGGGAUUAAACAGAGUUCGGGUUUUCGAGAGUCUGUUUAAUUUCCUCCAAUAUCUCACCUCUGGUAUCUCUCUCUUUGUGUGGGAAAUUUGGAGUUUCGGGUUUUCUGGGGAAAGUCGAAUGUAAGAAUUGGAUGAAGCUAAACACGAAGAUCGUUGGAUGAUGAUAUGUGUUUAGUUUCCUCCAAUAUCUUAUAUUCGGCAGCUCUACUACGAGAUCUGGUGAUGUCGGUGGCAGUCUGGCAGAGUCGAGUAUGAGUGUUGGAGGAAACCAAACAGAAAAUGCAGACUGGUUUCUGUGUAUUUCUGUUUGGUUUUCUCCAAUAUCUCAUACUCGGCCAUCCCAAAACGAUAAACCAAGAACAUAUCAACAGCGACACACGAGACAACAACUCGAGUCUAGGUAAACCUCGUCUUCCCUACGAUCUGUGGCCGGUAGAGAUGGAAGCUUGUUUGAGAAACAUGGUCUGAUGGAAUCUGAAUCCUAAGGUACCCUGGUCAAGUUUCUUCUUUUCUAGCAUAAUCUCAUCAAAGUCAUAGUCUAUCGUCGUUUUUCCUUUCGAGGCAUACAUAAUCUGUUCUGCCUUUCUUUCUUUGAAGGGCUAACUGCAACUGCAGCAGAGACUAAAGGGUUUAUGAGAGCUCUAAGCUUCAGCAUCAAGUGAAUCUACCGGAAUGGUACAUAAGAAGCCAUUUCAGAAACUUGAAGUUUCUGGAUGUACAAACCAAAAUCACUUCGGAGAAUUCUACUCUACGACUCUAUCACGGUUAAUCAGAGUUCUACACGUUAACCACACACCAAUCACGAUCGCAAUGACGACUGUUGCAGACGUGGGAACUAGAGCACAGAGAAUCAUUGUAACGCUUACUCAUCGACUAUUAUCCCCAAUCAAUGGGGAAUUGGCUUUCUUGAAGAGAAACCCUAAACAACUAAACAAGUAAUAAAGCAACACCAAAUUUGGACGCUACUAUUAACUAAUCUAUAUGCUUACUUGUUCAAAUAAUCAAAAGAGGUUGCCAGCAUCAACACUCCACUUCCCCCUUCAUCUAAAUCAUUCUGUCCAUUUCGUAAACCUGCACCCGACAACGAAAGUCGAACAAAUCACGCACUCCUAAGAAACCAUCGAAUGCGAAAUAAGGUAUUGGCAUCACUGUCUAAACUCUACGCAGCAGGUUAAACAAAGGGGAUGCAAAAGCAAAAUUAAAUCUGAUUCAGCCAGUGGGAGAACUAACACAAAUUUCACUGAAGAACAGCAUGAUUGAAGGGUUUCUCAAUGUUAAAAGCCACUGACAUAAUGUAAGGGGGGUGGGAGGAAACAAGUAACCUGUUUGUUUCGAUCCGUGCUAUGCAAGAUAUCGGUACAAUUUUCUGUCGACGUUAUCCCUCUCCAAGAAAUCGCGCUCUAUGAGUGACUCGAUUCGCUUCUUGAUCUCGGUCGGAUUGGGUAAGAACCGUUGCUGUAGUUGCUUCGUCACCUCGCUGAUUAAGUUGUUAUGAUCUAGUACCCUCCUUGACUUCAUGAUUCUAACUAAUGCAGCUUCGAUCUGAGGCUUCCUGUCCUCUUCCACUCUUUGCCGUGUUUCUUGCUUCUCGGGUUCUGAUUCCUUCUGUGCGACUACGGUUCCUAUCUUCACCUUGUAGAACUUGCUCGAGAACUUGUCGUUGAUGAAGAAUGCAUCCUCCUCGCCGAUUUCUUUGCUCAUGGGCUCUUUACGGAGGACGUUUUUGCCCUUCACGCAAGCCAUGGACUGCAAGCACCUCUUCAGUUCAGGGGCCGGGAUCUCAGUGGCCUGCUCGAUUUCUUUGUAAGUAAGACGAUCGGCGUUGUUGAAUAGCAUGAGAACACACAUUUGAUAAGUUGAAACGUUCAGCUCAUGCUUCUGACCCUUCCCGAAAGUCGCCUUGAGAUCCGCGUUGCCCAUGUUAGUCUGCCAUGACAACCUCCUACCGGUGUGAGUUCCGAGGUAAUAUGACCUGAACUUCUCGCAGAGUACCGACAUUUCAGAAGGUAAGUUGCAAGUGACACUCGGCUGGGUCGGCCAAGACCCGGUAGUCAAGACCUGAACAACAAGGGUUGGCCCAUCUCCUAGAUCGGGAUGGCUCGAAUAAAACCCGUGCAUCGUAUCCUGAGACGUCUUCAUGUCUGUAAACAUACCUUCUAGCUUCGAAGUGAACUGGUAGCCACAUUCAGUCUUGAGUUUCACUAUCAGACUUCUCUCUGCAUCAUCCGACACAGUUUUCCCCGAUAGAAGUCUCUUGGCUAAGUGCUGUUUGUAGUACUUUUCAAAUACGUCCUUCUCCUGCAAGUACCGGAACAGCAUCAUUACUUUGUCCAGAAUAAUCUCAACAUCUUCUUCACUAACUCCCUUAAGCCCCUUCCUCAGUUUGUCAUCGACAAACAAUGAGAUGUAUUCAGGAGAACGAGCAUUCAAGUUGAUGAAAUAUUCAAACGACUUGGUCAACGCAUUCUGGAAUGUCUUGUCAUUGAUGAAGGCCUUGUUUAUGAUGGCAUCGUACUUGUCUUUCUCGUCCAACAAACGCUGCACAAAAUCCACCGGAUCUUUCAACCUUUCUGGAUCAGUGACAAGUUGCUUCCCAGUUUCUCUGAGAUGAGAAGUCAUGACAUCCCUGAUUGUUGAGAGACCAUUGGGAACUCGACGGAACAAAUUAUACAUUCUUCCCAAAUCCUCAUACUUAUCAUCAAGAAGCAUGUUCACCAAACCUGAAUUUUCCAUGUGGACGAGCCUCAGCAUAUGAUUGGCAAUCAUCUCCUUCUCCACCACAUUAGUUAUCUUGGUCUCACUCUUUGUAUCCAAGUAGUGUGUCACCCUUUCUAUCUCUUCAUUCAACCGCUUCUCAGCUUUCUUCAGAUACUCGCCACAGUCACAGCAUUCAAUGAAGUGCUGAGACUCAACCAUGUAAAACUCAGCCGAAACGUCAAGAAAAUGCUUCUCAAAGUUCUCCUGGUAAACAACAGCGCCCAAAUCCAUCAGCAUCUUGAUUAUGUUCCUCAUAAGACCACGGUCUAUGACAUCACCAGUUCUCUCCCUACGGACUAACUCAAGAAGCGUAUUCAACAGCCUGAUCUGAAUCUUGCUGGAGUUGAUAAUAUUAUCCCUCCACAAGUUGAGACCGAGCUCAUGAACUGGAGUCUUGUGAGUGCUCGGAAUAUAAGUUCUAUCCAUAUACAUCAAUAUGUCCCUGAUCAUUUGAAGCGCUUUGUUGUGAUCAUUCCCCUUCCUGUUCAGCUCCUCUAAAAAGGAAUCUCCCUGCGCAGCCUCGAUAGAUUUUGAUAUCUCCUUUAAAUGUGAAGUCAUUGUAGAAACCAGGCCAGAGUACAAUUUCUCGCCAAAUUUGUGCAGAACCAUAUUGUAUGCAUUCCUGGAACAGAACCAACAAACAACGGCACUAGAAACAUGAGCACUUGGCAUCCAACAUCCAGCUAAACGUGUGGAGUCAAAUAUAGAAUCCCAAAGAAGUUACAUAAGGAUCGUCUUCCCUAACUCAACUUUGAAAAUAAUGAAUAGUCCAGAGUCUGAAUAAUCAGCCCAAAACCAUCAAAUGGCGUUUUCAUGCAUACACAAUCAGAUGAAAGGACAAGUUCUCAUAGAUUCUUGGAAGAACUAAGAACAUUCAAUGAUACAAGUUCUUCUACCACAAGAAAUGGAAGCAACAUCUCAAUUCACGAAGGAAACCUGCCACAAAGUACAAAAAUACCAUAACAAUUUCACAAGAAGCAUUCAAGUUCAGCAUCAGCAAGAACAACCAAAGUUUCAACAAAGCAAUCGAGAAGACUGCACACAACACAAGCAGCUCUAGGACACUGACGAAUUCAAUCUAAACAACAUUUCAUAAACAGCCUGAAUCAACUUCGUCAAUUUAUUUUCAACGUGAAGGUCAAACUAAACAAAAAAAAACCAUAGAAACCUGUAGAGCUCCUCGAAGCUGAGGCCACUGGCGUUGUGGUUGUAAAUCUCGUGGAUAGCAUGCUCGAGGACCUUCCAGGUCUUGUCUGCGUAUUUCGGAUCCACCACCACACGGUGCUUGAACGCCUCUAUGUGGAAGCUCCUCUUCUUCUGGUUACUCAUCGGAUCCCCGAAAAUUCAAACCGACGGUGCUCGAUUAAUUCAAAUAAUAAUCCCCCAGCUCCUGUCAACCGAUGAGAGGUGGAUGAUCGGAACGGAAUCGUAUGGCGAGCGGAGAGUGUUAGGGUUUGGAAUGGGCGGCGGAGCUUGAGGCAGAGGAGGAGGAAGGAGAGGUUUCCGAUUGCCGUUUGGUGGCGGGGAAGGAUCGAUGUUGAAGAAGUUGGAAAACUCGAAACGAAUUGUGCAAAAUUGUUGGAUUUGGUUUUGGUACUUUCUAUUUCUCCAUUUCUUUUCGGUCAAAUAACUAAUUCAUCAUAUAACUUUCAGAUGUUACAUAACGCAUUCGAAACUUGUAAAUAUGCCGAUUAGAAUAGUCUCGAAUCAUAAGUUUUGUAACCGUGACUUAACAUUUGGAAGUUUCGAGACCAGUACUUCUUAACUCGUGUCGAAGUUAUUGGACCUAAUUAAGCAUUUGACCCAGUUCUUUUGUAAAUUUGUUAAGGUUGCGACCAUCUCAUCCAAUUCGAAAUUGUUCAUCAGUCAGGGGCUGAAAUUCGGAGUUGGGAUAAUGAUGAGGGAAUACCUACAAUCAACAUCCAUGUCGGAGAAGGACUACGCAUUGGCCUCCAUGUCCUUCUCCGGCAUGGAUGUAUUCAAAGCUGCUGUCACUUCCUUCAAAGUGAAUGAUUGGAGCCUCUUUGGUGCUUCUUCUUAGGAAGUUAGUUUAGCAGUUUUUUUCUGGUGUACUUUCCAUUGUUCAUAUACGACGAACAAGUAGUUUUGCUCGAAAUAUAAAACAGUCAACUCGUUCCAUUAGUUCUCAAUUCACGAAUCAUCACAAACACCUGAAAAUUUUCAGAAAUCGACAUUCUAGAGUAGCUGCAUUUACACACUAUCAGGCAGUGAACUGAUGUCUCCUCUUCGAAGGUUCCAAGCUGCUGCUGCUGCGCGAAUUCGUCUUCUCUUCCUUGAACGGCUGAGUCGAUGGAUCGGAUAGAGCAGCAAUUCUCGAAACACUGCCUUUCCCUUUCCUGGAAUUUGGCCCUACUACUUCGAUCAUGUACUUCCAUCCAUCGAUCGGUCUUCUCCUGCUAAAGAUAUGGCUCUUUAUAAAGCUUGCUAUCUGCAAACAACCCAGAAAAUGAAUUAUUGUAGCAUAAAGUUACAAACUUUUUGAUCAUUUCAGAUCACCCACCUGGAAUUUGCAGAAGGCAAUUCGUCUAUCGAACUCUUGAUGCAGAAUGUCCUCUUCCCUCUGUGACAUGUCCCAUACAUUCCCGUCCGGAGCUUUCGAAGUAGUUUCCCACCCGUCCGGCUUGUUCUUAAGCUCUGAAGACGAAGUCGGCAGCUUCGAGUCAUCCAGGUCGGCAUUAUUUGUGUCGAAAAUCCUGCAAAGAAGUUCUCGGUCAGGCAUUUCAUCGAACAGUUUGUGUGCACCAUUUCACAGAAACAUACUCGGAGUAACUAUCGAGCAAGCGAUCGAUAUCAUCAACGCCACCACCGGCGACUCCCGAUUUCGACUCCUGCAUCUUCUCGAUCUCCUUAGCCCAUAAUCCAGCAUGGAUCCUCUGCUUCUUCAAUCUGUAAUCCUUCUUCAUAUUCUCAAGACUAUACAGACCGUUAUUCUUCUCCCUUCCUUCUUCAACCUUCUGGUUAUUCGUUGUUCUCCGGCGUUGAUCCCAAUUCUCGUUCAUCUCCUCCACGAACGCUUUCGUCUCCGAGUCCAGCUCCGACGGGGGAACCGCCGUCGCCGUCGACGGAAAAUUCACGUCCGUUUCCCAUGGAGCUCGGUCUUUCCCCUUUAGAUCAUCCGGUAGCCAAGCUGUCUCCCACGCAUCAUUCCAUUCAUUAUCAUCUCUUCCUCUUCCUCCCCCACCUCCGUCACUUCCCCCGCCACUGGUUGAUAGAUACCUCGAAACCAAACCAACUAAACUCGAACCGUGAUUCAUACUUCCAAACCCAUGUCCAUAUCUCGCUAGAUUAGCUUCCUUUGCAGAGAAACCUGCAAUUCGAUUGAGAAAUUGCAUCUUCUCUCCGUGGGGUUCUCCGAUUUUCUCAGAGCACAAAAAUGGCGACUGUGGAGAAAUAUUUUUAAACAGAGAAAGAAGACAGUAGCUAUUGGGUUUUGUAAUUUUGUUUCUCUUAGCCCAAAUAAAAAGCCCAAGCUGGACGAAACGUUGGGCUUAGGCUUGAAACAUCAGGCCCAAUACAUGCAUGCUAGGGUUUAUGACUACUGACACUGAAUUUUCAAACAUAUAUAUAUCUCUUUCUUCAGCUGCGGAGCACUCUCUAGCUUUUCGUCUCCGAGGGUUUUUUGUUCAUCUGAAAAGGUGAGAGAGAUCGCUUCGGCUGAGAUCGGAGAAACCUGCUGAGCGAAGAUGGUGCACGUUGCUUAUUUCCGCAACUGUAAGUUGGUUUCUUUCCCGCUCUGUUAUGAAAUCAUCUGCUCCUUUUGAAAUCGUUUCUUUCCGAUGAUCUGAUUGUUUGCCCUCUGAAAUUGUUAUGGUGUUAUAGCUGUUCACUUCAUUGUUAACUGGGUAUUUUGUUGUGUGGCGAUUGCUUUAAUCUGUAUUGAUAAAGUUUGCGUCUUGACCAACUUAUGUGUACCUUCGCUGAGCUUGAUUGAAUACGUAGAGUUAGGGUUUAUAAGAAAGAGCAGUUUGAUUGGUAUGCUGUUUGUAAAGGUCAUAUGGAAGAGAAAUGUGUUCUUUCAGUUAGUGAAAGUUUAUAGUGUGAUGAGUCGGUGCUCAUCCAUCUUUUUAGUUCAUUGAUAGUCUUGUUGGUAAUCUAUAAUCUGUUAGAUUUAUUGGUAUACAGUCUAAAUUGAUAGCUUUUCAAUCCAUUUUGUUAUGAUGAUGAUUGCUUUAGCUCAAGAUUCAUAUUAGUUUGGUUUCUCUUGUGUACUGAAAAUGGUGUAAUCUUAUGCGCAGAUGGGAAAACCUUUAAGAAACCUAGACGUCCUUAUGAGAAGGAGCGUUUGGAUGCUGAGCUGAAGCUGGUUGGAGAAUACGGUCUUAGGGCCAAGAGGGAACUCUGGAGGGUGCAGUAUGCUCUGAGCCGCAUCCGUAAUGCCGCACGAAUGCUUCUGACCCUUGACGAGAAGAACCCCCGUCGUAUCUUUGAAGGUGAAGCCCUUCUGAGGAGGAUGAACAAGUAUGGGCUCUUAGAUGAGAGCCAGAACAAGCUCGAUUAUGUCUUGGCCCUGACUGUUGAGAACUUCCUUGAGCGUCGCCUCCAGACUCUUGUGUUCAAGUCUGGGAUGGCCAAAUCUAUCCAUCAUGCCAGAGUUCUCAUCAGGCAGAAGCACAUCAGGUAAAAUUUAACUACUCAAACUCCUUGUUCUCUUUUCAGUAUAUGCAUGAUGUUCUUUGUUGUCUGGAAUCAGUUAAUAUCCCCUUCAUAUGAUUGUCUUAUAAUGUUUGUGAUACUGCAUCUUCUGAUUUGUUUGACAAUGUUUUUGUUGUUGAAUGAGUAACUGAUUCUUUCGAUCCCUCAUGCAUAUCAAAUGUUCAGUAUUUACUCCUGCAUCCUGGCACUAUAGGGAUUCAAAUGCUAAAUGUGAAGACCUAAGAGCUAACUUUGUCUACCAUUCAUCAUGGUAGUAGAUAUUGUAGAUUCUGGAAUUGACAAAAGAGACUAAAUUUGUCUAUCAUAGAUAGUUAGAGAAUCUCUGCUCUCGAAACAAACAUCUUAGUUAACCAUGUUCUUAAUUUCAGGGUCGGGAGGCAGGUUGUGAACAUCCCAUCCUUCAUGGUGAGGCUGGACUCACAGAAGCACAUCGACUUCUCGCUCACCAGCCCAUUCGGCAACUCUGACAUCCAAGGUAGAGUGAAGAGGAAGAACAUGAAGGCUGCUUCUUCCAAGAAGGACGAUGCUGCCGAUGAGGAUUAAAGUAUCUAGUCUCUAUGCUAUGUAUUUGGAGUUGAACUAAGAAUUGGAAGUUUUGUUAUGUACUCGGAUUAGAAUGGUUUUCCUACCUCUGGUUGUGUUUCUAUGUUAUAGAUGUUGUUCGAAUUCUUCUGGUUGAUGGAAUUUGAAUAUUUAUGAUUUUAAAAGGCUUGGUUAUCGUUCCUACUUUGCAUAAUGAUUGAUGCAGUAAUAUUGAUAUAUUUGACUCGAUUUCUCAAUCUCUUAUAGGGUGAAGUAAACGGUAUAUUAUUUUUUUGUUUGUCUGCUGUUGUAUUUUAAUUGUAUAAUUUUACCAUUAAAACAACUCCACUUUGAUUAUCAUCCAAAUUCGUAUAACCUAACCAACUCGAAUGAGGGGCUCGACAAAUGAUCAACAAGGAAUUGCUUUCGACCAGAAUCGAACAUGAAACAUGAAGUACUUGACGGGCUUUGAGGAACUUUGGGGAACUGAUUCUAAAGCCCAAUCCAGAGUAGACCGGCCCAAAAGGGAGUGCCCAGCGGACAAGCCAAAUCAUAAGGACCACUAGAUAAUAACCAAGGUCUCAUAUUCGCCCACAAUGGAUCGACCGCUUGGAUCAUGACAUCAACACGUAGUUCAAAUCUCGAGACUACUAUAAAAAGUAAGACCUUACAUUUAUUACGGAUGUCGAAGGUAAGCCACUGUGCACUACCCCUCAUAGCUUUCGACGCCCUCACUCAACAGUACCAGUACGCCUAGGCUCGUACAAACUACUCACAGGCUCCGACCGGGUACUCCUGUCUUCCACUCUUUCUCACACGUACCCUUUACCCUCUCUCAUACACACGUACGCUAACAUCGCCUCUUUGUUAGGAACCGCACGAGACGCUUAGAAGAUCGUUUAUUGAGAGGCGCUACUCACCCGAUUUUCUCUACAUCGACGAAUUAUUUAUUGGUUGGAUCAUCUAAUGCGAUUCAGGCUGAUCAGUACCCAAUUCAGAUAACAUGACCAACUCGAGCAAGAGGCUCGACAUGUACCUUACUAAGGCCUACUAUUUGCUGUGCGAUCUCUCACAACUUUGAUCAGCCGAUGUCGAUCCCCUAUCUUCCACAACUUUAAUCCAGAUUUUUAUGACUGAAAACAACUGUUAACUGAACAUUGAUCAUC